GGAGACGGAUGGGUCCUGGUGGGCCCCACGGCCUUCAAAGCCGCUGAGAGGCGCGCAGAACGUCUCAGGUGUGUUCGAUUCGCACACGUCUCCGCCA
rnacentral:tRNA from 1 species